UGUUUCUAUACAUUAUGUUACUAUAGACUUAAUGUGAGUACCUGACCUUCAUUUUACAGGUAAAGGAAAGUGAAUAUCAGAAAAGAUAACAAAUGCACCCAGGACUGUACAACCGGCAGAGGCAACGUCAUGGAUAAAAGAGGUACAGUGUUAGUGAGCUGUGCUCUCACAUGGAUACGACAGUGAAGUUCCAUCCCAACUCAGUUGGAAGGGAGAAGGAUUCUGAGGCUUCACCUGGGGCCAGGCAGAAAGUGUGCCAUAAUCAGCUGACAAUGUCUGGCUUUGGAUGGAAGAGAGUGACUUGCUUUCUAGAGGCAACAUGUCCAGCUGUAAAAUCCAUAACCAUAGACUCCAUUUGGAAAAGAAGGAAUUCUGCCAGAGCUGCUCCUCUCCCAGCACAGGUACUGUCCCCACGCCCCACUACCCACAUAUACCUUACUGAAAUGUGGAAGUAAUGCCUGCAGGUGCAGCAGCCAGGUAAAGGCCAUGA
rnacentral:lncRNA from 1 species